GACGAGGGAUCCUAGCGUUGUUCGGAAUUACUGGGCGUAAAGCGUGCGCAGGCGGCUUCUCAAGUCAGGGAUGAAAGCCCAGAGCUCAACUCUGGAAUUGCCUUUGAGACUGAGUGGCUUGAGUACGAGAGAGGUGAGUGGAAUUCCCAGUGUAGAGGUGAAAUUCGUAGAUAUUGGGAAGAACACCGGUGGCGAAGGCGGCUCACUGGCUCGUAACUGACGCUCAUGCACGACAGCGUGGGGAUCAAACAGG
rnacentral:rRNA from 1 species